AUGAGGUUUCACCUUGCUGGCCAGGCUGGUCUUGAACUCCUGGUUCGAGACCAGCCUGGCCAGCAAGGUGAAACCCCGU
rfam:Homo sapiens chromosome 1, GRCh38 reference primary assembly.